GGGGGUGUAGCUCAGAGGCAGAGCGUUUGACCGCAGAUCAAGAGAUUCCCCGGUUCAAGUCCGGGUGCCCCCU